rnacentral:pre_miRNA from 1 species
UACAUACUUCCUCCGUCCGAAAAUACUUGUUCUCAAAAUGGUUGUAUCUAAACUUAUUUUAGUUAUAGAUACAUCCAUUUUAUUCAUUUCUAGGACAAGUAUUUUCGGACGGAGGUAGUACAUG